ensembl:lncRNA
GGUGCGAAGGAGGCAGUGCUGCUGGAUGCGCUCAGGUUGAGGUGAGAAGCACGUUGUUGCUUCUGGCUUACGCUCUUCGGUUUGCAUUAGGACUUUGGCCCUUACCAUGCACUUAUUUGCUCUUUAAUCUUGGUCACCUUAUCAGAAGCCUUUGAACAACAAAAUACAUCUCUGCUCACCUUGGGAACAGGCUCCGCGAUUUCUUUUGGGUUGGUUUUGUUUCCUUGCCAGGGACCUCGGAGAUAAGCGUGAUCCCUCAUGAACCCGGACUUUGUCUGGCAGCCUCCCAGGCCUGCAGCCCUGGUGGGGUCCCAGCUGUCACCAGGGGUCGGUUUCUGCCACCCCUGACCAGCUGGCUGCAGCUGGAGGCACAGGGGAUGAACCUGCCCUUCCCAGCCCUCUUUGACCACGGAGAGUAUGGCAACAUGCCUCUUUUCAGGGCUGGCUGGCUGCAUGGGCUCACCUGCCAUCCGUGAUGCGCCCUGCUGUGCCUCUCCCACCCUGCCUGAUAAGGGUGGUGAUGCAAAGCACAGACAGCUGUUUCCUGUGGGGCUGACUUCAACCUGCUGCCUUUGGAGGUGCUCCAGAGCUGUGGAGAUAUGGCACUGAGGGAUGUGUUCAGUGAGCAUGGUGAGAUGGGCUGGGGUUGGACCUGGGGAUCUUAGAGGUCUUUUCCAACCUUAAUGAUUCUAUGAUUCCUUCCCACCUCAUGCACUGCUGACACACUCCUGAGUCUGCAGUUCUCCAGGCCGAGCUGUCCCAGCUCUCUUGCUUCUCCUUGAAUGGAAGAUGCUCCAGGUCCUGAAGCAUCACUGGCCCUGCGCUGGACUUGAUUGGUUAUUGCACCUUGCCUUGUCCUGGGGAGGCCAAAGCGGGUCUUGGUGUUGCAGAUGUGGCUUGGAAAGUCAUGUUUAACCUGGGAAAGGCCAAAGAUGAAGAGACAGAAAAAUGGGUAAAGGAAGGACCAAAUGCUGCACAGCAAGGAAAGAGGAACAGAAGAGAGGUGAUGCAAGUGAAGCAGGGAAAGCAUGGCUCCCCUCUUCAUCUGAUGUCCUUUCCAAGGCGUUCUGGGGUGAAAUUAUGGUAUUUUUUUGCCUCCUGCCCUGAAAUUCUUGUGUGUCUUCAGACAUAGGCUGGUCCAGCAUGGCCUGGUGCACAUAUCAAAGCAGUGGAAAUGGCUUUCAGAUGAAGCCCAGCUGGAAGAGCUGUGUCGACUGAGGGAAACCGGGCAGAACAGGAAUUUACACAGAGAAUGCCUUUGGAAACAGAUCAGUGUGCAAACAGGGUGGGAAGCUCGUGCUCUGAUGUCACCUAUUUAUUAAAAGCAUGACAAGGAGCCCAGGUAAACACUGAUGUCUCACCUGGGAAAACCAAACCAAAACAACACCACGUUGAAAUGUGGGAGAGAGUGUAUGACUUCUAGGAAAGCUGCAGCAUUGGCAUGUGAGUGUGAAACAGCUGCCCCGGAGGUCAGCGUUUGCACGGCGGUGUGGCACGUGGAGGACCUGAUGCACACCUUGCUUCCUAAAGCUGCUCCUGCCAACCACACAGCCCCAGCCGAGCAGAAAGGCACAGAUUGGGAGCGUGGGUCUCAAAAGCACUGGGUGGGAGAGGUUUCUUGCAGCUGGUUUUAUGUCGGUGGCCUCAACCAGCUCGCCUGCAGGUGGCAGGGAGAAGCAGGCUAUCUCUGUGGUGCAGAUGGACUCCAUCUCCAUCUCUGGGAAAGGCACGUGUUGUGCACCAGGUACGUCCUCAGGAGCAGACAGCAAGUAGGACUGGGAGCACAGGGCUGUGUAGCAAAUAUGACAUUCAAGUGGGAUUUUUCACCACCGGGGAGCACGUAAUCCCAGUGUGUGCCUUGUCACCAUCGUGAUAUUUAACUACUGUGUGUGUGAGUUUAGGCUCUGCUUCCAGCAGGGAGGAGGAGCUGGCUGGCUCCAAUAGCUUUUAUAGGCAAGGGAUUUAAAACUUUUCACUGCUUGUCCCUGUAGGGGUCAUCGAAGCAGCACGGAAACGGCACAUUGGCUGCCCAGAGGGAACCAGGGCUGGAUGGGACUGCUCCGAAACCCCAAAGAAGGGCUGUUUCUGCCCUGCCCUUCAGCACGCUUCCCCCAACCCCAGGUUGGUUUCAUAGCAUCUAUUGGAAUGGCUGCAUCCAGCAGCACAGCUGUCAUUCACAAAGAAGGGGUUCUUCUUUUUUGGCAACACCUCCAAAUGGAAGAGCCCGGGAGUCAUCUAUUGCUUUCCUUUUCAUAACAAAAAAGCUUUUUCAUUCAGAAUGCCUUUUGUAAAUGCAGCAUACUCAAAACGUGGGGGUCUGCUGCUUCUCCCUUUGGCCAGAAGGACUCUGGACUGGAAGCUUUCCUUAUGGGGGGGAGCUGCUCCCUCUGAAAUGGGGAACGUCUGCAUACAGCAGCAGCUGCAGGUUGACAGUUGGACUGGAUGUUCUCUGAGGUUUUUUCCAACCUUCACGAUUCUGAUUCUAGGUCAGGCUCCUGCUGGGCUCCCAGGUGCUCCGCUCAGUUCUGCUGCAGCUCAGCUGGUGCCGGAGCUGCGGGUAAACCCAAAUCCCAACACCACUCAUGCCCCCAUUGUUGGUCGGACUAAAUGGCCUUAGUGGUCUUUUCCAACCUGAAUGAUUCUAUGACAAGUUGUGGCUAAGGCAGCAGGCCGUGGCGGGCCGUGGAGGUCCUGGCAUUUCUUUCAGAGCCAUUGUGUUUGAGCACAGGCUGUGCAAACCGCGCUACGUGCCGGGCCAAGGCCGCUGCUUCCCACUGGCAGCGGGUCAGGGGUUCGGAGGGACGGGGCUGGGUCCAGAGUCUAUGUGUGAGGAGAGCUGGAGCCCAUGGGAUGGACGAGGGCUGGGAGCUGCAGGCUCAAGUGGAGGUGGUGUGGAGGGGUGGGCUGCUGGGCAGGGGGCUGAGCUGGGUGCAGCAGGCACACAAGCACUGAGCGUUUCCUGCUGCGGCCCCGUGCUACAGAUGUGGUCCUACAGAAAGCCCAGGAGCUGCGAAAGGUGGGCAUGGAGCCCCCCCUGUGCUGUGCUCUGGGCAUGGAUGUUAUCCCUCCCAUUGGGUCCUCUAGCUGUGUCUCUGCUGUUGCUGGUUCAACAUAGGGGAGGGAGUGAGUUGCAUGGGAAGGCACCCUGAAGCCAUGAUUGCUCUUUGCAGAUGUUCAAACACCCCUCCUCCCAAAGGAGGCAGCUCCAAAAAUCCGUGCAGGGCUGGGACAGGUGUGUUUGCUGAGCAAGCACCGCUGUUUGCUCAGAGGGGACCCGAGUUGGGCUGCAGACCUUUGUCCCAAGGUAUUACAACCUGCACCCUUCUCCUCUGCUGCCCGGGCUUCAGCUCCCUUCCUCUGCCGUGGGCCAAAGGAAUGACCUUCCUCUGGGCCAUUUAUUUUCCUCUCUGCUGCCUUUCAAUGGUGUCUGCUGGCAGGGCACCGAGGGAUUCUUGGCCCACUGGGCUCUGUUAGUAUUCCUGUGGCCACACAGGGAUGAAGGGCUCUGCAUUCAGACAAGUAACUGUGCAGGGACAAUGUGCUCCUUGGUGCCUCUCUGUGGGGGAUCUGGAGUGUAAUAAGCUGCUGAGACUGCUUAUUUUGGCCGAUCUGCUGAGACAGCAGGCUGCCCGGAUUGUGACAUGGGAUCUGAGGAGUUUUAGGAUGGAUGUGGGUACGGUGCGUUGUGUCUGUGUCAGAAGCACUGCACGCUGUAGGAGGCCACAGUUAUGAGCCACGGGGCAGAGGCAGAAGGGAACUCAGCCCAUCAGCUGCUGCCUCGCUGAGGCACAGCAAAGGGCCCCUCUCCCCCCAUUUACCUGCAAUUGCCUGGCUUGUGCUGCGUGCACCCACCUUGGGCAGGACCCCAUGUGGUCCUCACACGUAACCCUACACAGAUCCAAAGACGUGGAUGUAAACCGAAGCAGAGAAGAUGAGGUAGUGGGGGUGAUUUGGGGUCUGGUUUGAUAGCCGCACAUCUCUUUUCCUCCAAUCUCCUGAAGAUAGUAGGAGAAGGACAGAGCGAUGUGGAAUUCCUCCUUCCUGCAACUCACAGCAAUGAAGAGGAAUUGAAAAAGAUGGAGAGAAACAAAGCUGGAAGGGACCGCUCGGGUUUCAGUGGUGGAAAUACUGAUGGCAACCAAAAUUUCUGCAUUCCUGGAGCACGCUGUGGGUGCCAUGCGCCCAUGGUGCUGCUCAGUGCCUGAGCCAGGCAGGACCCAGUGGCAGCCCUGACCUCUCCAUCAGCGUGCCCCAGCAGCGUCCCCCAGGGCAUGCUUCCUGCACCCUCCACCCCUGCCUUUCUGCCUCCCCACUUUUAUUUUUAAGCAGUCACCUGUGACCAGGAGGAAAUGCACUGUGGCUGCCGGAUCAAUGAGCAACCUGUACUUUGGCGCUUGUGAGUACGGUGGAUUUAACCCUGGUUCAUACUGCAGUGUGUUAACCUCUGCUGGGUCUGGGCUGAGCUGCUCCUGCUGCCUAUAGCUCUCCUUAAUACUGGGACAGCCUGGCUCGUAAUCAGUUAAUCCUUUAAUUUGGCUUUGAUAACGAUAAGUGGGAGCAAGCUCCCCCUGGCCACCAUGCGUGCCCACUACAGCAGAGUGCUGCAGCGGGGUCGUUGCCCUCAUAAGAUGCCUACCCCUUGGAUAGCGGAGGAAGGCCAGAUUUCACUUUAGAGGGCUGAAACAGAGUGAGAGGAACCUGUAUUGUUUUGCUUCUCCCCAGAUAACACCUUUGCAUUCUACUCACCAAAUAAUUCCAUUAAAACAAACCUGAUUGCUCUGCCCGUGACAGGGAGGUUGGAACUAGAUGAUCUUUGAGGUCCAAGCCAAGCCAUUCUAUGCUUCUAUGGAAAUGCCCCACUGCAGUGUCUGCAGCGCUCCCAUUUGUGCUAGCAUCCUCUGUGUGAGGCAGGAGAGGAGAUGGGCUGAUGGCUGCAGCUCCCCUGGCAUGCACUGCCAUUACACAAGUGUGAUGUCCUUGAUGCAAGGCCAGCCCGGUCUUUUCGUGGGGAUUUCCCACAUCAAAGGGAAUGUGCAAGAGGAACAAAUGUGUUAUUUGCAAUGGGAUCUUCACAAAGCCUUUCGUGCUGUUUGUUCGUGUUAUUUCUCCGAGGCAUGUUUGUAGCAGGCGGGGUGUUGUCUGCUCAGAGCUGUGGGACUCCUUCAAGAGCCAGCGCUCAGUAGAAACAUUUGGGUUGGUGACAAAAUCAUCACUGCUGUGCACAAAACAUAACUGCCCAAAAUGAAGCGGGCCAUAAAUGGACUGAGGUAUGGUCUCACUACCCUGCUCGAAGGUCAGGAUCGUGUUCUCCCUUUUGGAAAUACCCAGGAAGCAGGCAUGAACAGAGCUCCAGCAGCUCCAUGAUUCCAGCAGGAGCCAUCAGCCCACCGUGCCUUCCUGUGUUCCCUUCCCAAAGCCCACCAGGAACGUCGCAGUUCCCAGGGCUGCACAGAGCUGCUGGUAACCCUGUUAACCUUUGGGUUAAUCAAGCAAACUGGAAUUCUUCAUUAGAAGGAAUGUCGCUAAUUACAUAGCCGAGAGGCUAAGAGAGGUUUGCAUUGACCCCUGGCAGCAGAGCACAAAUCACUGCUGAGCUCAGCAGCGGGGCUGGGGGAUUGCUGGAAGCUUGGUUGAGAGGAGGCAGCUUCUCCAUCAGGAAAACCUUAUUCUCAUCAAUGCUGGGCAUUUGCUGGAAGGAAAGCAUGCAUGGGGUUAGGGUUAUGGGGUUGUGGCACUGUCUUGAAGAGAUACUUUACAAGGCAGAAAGUGUUGAGCUGCUGGUACCUCCUGGUCAGGCCAGCAUUAGCACUUAGCCAAAAAUGCAAACCUGUUGUGGUGUGACAUGGUAAGCAGCUCUGGGCAAGAGGCUACAGCCUGCGGCUGGGCUUAGUGCUCUGAGCCACAAAGAGCUGCUUAAAAUGGACAGAGGGCUCUUUGUUUGCUGUGUGUGGUUUAGAAAUUAAGCAACAUUUAGAAGUAAAUAUUGAUUCAAGCAACAUCUGCUCCCACACUCCACUGGCCAGUUUGGCUCAUCCCAGGUAGAAAACAGCAUAUUGCAACACAGCCCAAACCUGACACCAAGCAUUUCUCCUAAUCAGUGGGGAAACAGCUUCAUGGCAUUUCCUGAAAAUUAACUAACCACACCAACUCUGGAGCUGGAACACGGCCUCGAAAGUGGCCUCUGGGUCCAGAGAGGUGUUGGGAGCAUGUUUUGGGAAAGACUACAGGAUGUUCUUGGGGCAUUUGUCAGGCACUGGGAAUGCCAGGCUGGUCUCAGUCACUGCUGGGCAUGGACACACUGGUAGGGCUGGCACUGCUGCUGGAACCCUGUGCUGACUUGGGGGUCAAGCAGGUGCAGCAGGCAUGUGUGCCCUCCGGACCAGCAGGGAGCAGGGAGGGAGG